UACGUAGGGUGCAAGCGUUAAUCGGAAUUACUAGGCGUAAAGCGUGCGCAGGCGGCCAUGCAAGACAGAUGUGAAAUCCCCGGGCUCAACCUGGGAACUGCAUUUGUGACUGCAUGGCUAGAGUACGGUAGAGGGGGAUGGAAUUCCGCGUGUAGCAGUGAAAUGCGUAGAUAUGCGGAGGAACACCGAUGGCGAAGGCAAUCCCCUGGACCUGUACUGACGCUCAUGCACGAAAGCGUGGGGAGCAAACAGG
rnacentral:rRNA from 1 species